CCUCGGUAUCUGCCAACCAGCUGAGCAAUGGCUCCAAGGCAUCUUGAAACUUCCCACAAUGCAACAAAGCUUCCUGUAGCUGUGCAAUUCUUUGUGCGACCUUUUUAUUCAAUGUAUUCCAUCGAGCAUUGAUCUCUUCCAUGUCAUGUUCUAAACCCUGUACAUCACAGUCUUUUCCUGCACUCUGAAUUAAUCCCUGGCCAAGUCCAUUCACCUGCUGCAAUUUCAUCUGAAGAGGAUCCACUUGUUCUUUCUGAAACAUUUUAAAAUCUGCUAAUUGUUGGUUGAUGAUUUCCACUUCGGUCCCCACUACCCACUGGAGGGCCUCUGCCUCCUCUGCUGCUGUGGUCGCGUCAUUGAGUCCUUUCAAUUUCCUGUAGAAGUCCUCUACACGGCCUAGUGUCAGUUCCAGCUGUUCCUGACGAGCUUUCCCCCUCUCUGUCAGUUUGCCACACUGUUUGUUCAGGGCUUCUAGCUCCCUUUUGAGACCUAACAAAUCCAGAGUCCCCUCUUCUUCUAGCAUAUGUCGACACUCUGCUUCAGAGGCCUCUAUGUCUAAUUUGAGGACGUGAAUUUUGUUAAGGAAUAGCCGGACAUCCUCGAUUUGGGACUGGAGGCUAUCAGUGUCUCUGCCAAUAGCACCCAUGCCAUCUAGCUCAUCAUCCAGGUCUGCCAAUUGAGAGAACAUCUCUCGGACCCGGCAGUGAAACUGGCCAAUCCCCUCCAGCUUGUUUUCCAUCAUCACACAACCACUGUUCACUCUUUGCUUAACUUCGAGGAACUCUUGCUGGGCGACCUCAGCUUGGUGGAGAAGUUGAGAAGCAUCAGAUCCAUCUGGGGCAUCUUCUAC
rnacentral:lncRNA from 1 species